rnacentral:rRNA from 1 species
CUUGGCGACCAUAGCGUUUUGGACCCACCUGACUCCAUUCCGAACUCAGAAGUGAAACGAAAUAGCGCCGAUGAUAGUGUGGGGUUUCCCCAUGUGAGAGUAGGACAUCGCCAGGC